CCUCCCUCGGAGAGAAUGGAAAAAACAAGGAGUGGUUAUGUGAUUCCCCACAAGCAGGAGGAGAAGCGCACGGGAGAGAAAGGAAUAGCAGGGAGGGUUGGGAGGGAGGGGGGGGGGGGCGUUUCCCUGCACAGUAUAGCCUAUUCUCACACUUCAGCAUGGAUACAAUGAAUGGCAUAUGGAGCGGCUUAUUCAGGGGAGCUGACAAAAAGGUGGACAUGGCGCUCUUGGUGAGAACAGAAGACACGUCCAGUUGAGUUGUCAUCAGCAGCAGCCCCAUCAGACAUGGACAGUUGGGUGGAAGGAGGAAGAGGCGAGGAAAGAUGGAGAGAGAGAGAGAGAGAGAGAUGAGGAGAGAGGACUAGAAGAGUAUAGGUGCUGUCCUUAAAGAUUUGCUUCCACACAGACCCCCCUCCUUCCACGCUGCAAUCUUAUUCAGAGUGCAGGAGCUGAAGGGAUGCACACAGAAAAGGAGAAUGAGCCCCAGAGCUGAGAGGCGAGAGAAGGGAAUGGAGGGGAGGAGGUGGGCCUCUUUGCUCCGGUCUCGACCACGGGUAUUCUUGGGUUGAUAAUACAGAUGUGGAUGUUAUUGCUUGAGAAUACGCGUAGUCGAGUGGAAGCUUAAUCAUCUACAGUGGACCAAAAGCAGAGCACUAUUCAGUAGACUACAAUGGCAGAGACCAGGCAGACACAUACACACGUAUAGCCAAGCUGAGGUGGUGACACAGACAUGGGGUGGAUUUUAAUUAAGCACCCAGAGGUGACGUUUUAUGGGAAAGGGCUUAUUUUGUUCAAUCAGAAAGGUUUUUAAAUAGAAUGCAAUCAGGGCUAGCCAGGUGCCCAAAUCAAAUCCAGCCACUGAAAAGGUUUUAUCAUCGUAGGUUUAUCAACCAUGUCACUCUUUACACCUGUGGAGGAAAUGAGUUUGUGUCGCUGGCCAGAUUCAGACCCUCCUGCAGAGGCGCUGGUGAGGAAGACUUGCACCAUGCCACUAAGCUAAACCCCCAGGCAUUAGUUCAGGGAGCUUAACACAAAAGUCUCCUGACUCAGACGUUAAUUCCAAGCCUUCUUGAUUACAUACCCUUGUCAGUCAGUUGUGCACACAAGUGAGCCUAUAAUCUUAUCAGUUGAUGAGUGUCUUUCACAGUCCUUCACACUUUGCAUCCAACAUUUUCCUCACGGUGACCAGGAAUUUGAUGUUUGCAAAAUUGUGGGUCCUCAGACGUAAACGGCUGCAAUACCUUGGCAUGGUACAUCAUAACUGUGCGUAACCAUCAUCCCACUGCACUACAAACUAGUAUUGCACUCCUAUUUUUGAUUCCCUGGCUCAUGCUAAAAAUGUGUGAGAGUUUGAUGCCUGUAGCAGCAACAGGAGACAGUAACACAUGAGGACAUGUCAAGGCUUGCACCCGUGGCUGACAUUUCAGCAUUCGGCUCAGCUGACUGGCUGUCAUGAUGGAGACUCAGACCCUCACGCACACACACAUACAAAUACACACACAUAUAUAAACUGCAUGUGGGUUCAAAUGAUCUAUAUUCCAGUAGGGAAAUCGGGGAUUGAUGGAUUUUAUGAAAACAAGCGUACAGAUAGAUCGCCAUAUGUAUGAAAGCACACACAUUUUAAGUAGGUUCACUGGGUCCGUAUGCCAGUGGGGAAAUAAGGGACUGAUUGAUUCUAUGGGUAACUAUUUUUAGUCAGAAUGAUGGAUGUUUAUGUCUUUUAUUGAUCAAGUUGAGGUGUGGGUUUGAAGAAUUCUUAGACGUCAGGGCAUGCUGAUUAAUCAGGUAGCAAAGGUGUUAGAAUAAAACAUCCUGAAUUACAUUUUUGGUACAUUAGCAUUAUUGCUAAGUAUUAUAAAUUAGAAAAUCAACAUUUCACUGCAAAUUCAGCAAUAUAUUAGCAUUUGUUUGCAAAUGUGCCCAUGAUAAAUUACACUCUUAUCAUUUAUUAUUCCAUGAUUUCUUACAACUGCGUAAGCAAAUCUCUUAUUUAUUAGCACAGUGUAUAAUUCUAAUUUAUAUGAAUUUCACUCUGACACUGUGUAAACUUGUUGAUUGGGCAAAGCCAUUUCUGUGGUUUUGUGUGUAUUUGUGUAUGCAUGUGUGUGUGCUUCUAAGCAACAAAAUGACUAUUGUGAGCACAGCUCCAGGUGCCUAGCAACCGAAUCGCUCUGUUUCCUUGGCAACAGUUGCCUUGCACUCACUGUGUGGGUGAUUGGCAGCCUUGACAACGGAGACGGAGUGACACUUGACCUCGCGUGCUGAAUGGGAGAGGAGAAAGAAGGAGCGAGAAAUAGAAGAGAGGGGGAGGGCGUGGGAUGGGACGCGCAGAGACAGAGGAGAGACUAAGUGAUAAUCAUUCUCCAUUGUAAUCAUCUUCCAGCAUGUUUCAUAAGGCGUCGUCAAUACCUCUCCAGCUGGGGUCCAUCAUCAAACACAAUACACAGUGCAGUGCGCGCAUGCACGGACACACUCUUCCUGGGUGGAGAGCCCAGGCAGGCACUCCACAUCUCAUCUAUUAUCACUCAGCGCUGCCUGGUGCACAGCCUCGCUACACUGUGUCUUCUUUCAUUUGUGAUCUGCUACAUCCUGUGCUCUGUGGGGAUGAAUGGAUACUGGACUCCUAAAAAUGUGUCACGGUCACAGAUGCCACAGGAGAGUAGCUCAGAAGCUGUGCCCUGAGACGUUUUAUUUUGAAAUAGGUAGUACCAGUGUCUUUGACACCUCAGAAUUUAAGUGCUGUGAUUAUAAAAAAAAAAAAAAAUGUAUUUUUGUGGCUGUCUAUAGAUUCACCAGCUGAGGGUGUCCCAUGUAGUAGGAUUUAAUCAAAAAGCAUGUUCAUAGCUGACAAUACCUCUGUAUAGUGAUAAAUCAAAACUGGAACAGUGGAACAGUACAAAUAACUAGCUUUUAUUGUUGAUGCCAUUAAGACAAAGUCAAAUAAAAGCCCCCGUUUGAAAAUUGA